GCACCAGUGGUGUAGUGGUAUCAUGCAAGAGUCAUGCAAGAGCCAUUCUUGUGAAGUGGGUUUGAUUCCUGGCUGGCCCG